rnacentral:snRNA from 1 species
AUACCUUUCUCGGCCUUUUGGCUAAGAUCAAGUGUAGUAUCUGUUCUUAUCAGUUUAAUAUCUGAUAUGUGUACCAUGUGUUCACUUUGAUAUUAAAUUUAUUUUAGCCAACCAUGUCCUCGGCGCUAGGGUUCCUAGGCGACUCGGGGUGGGUUCUGCGUGGGUAGGGUUUCAAUCCUCUCUCCACCCCAUCGGUC